UGGGGAAUAUUGCACAAUGGGCGAAAGCCUGAUGCAGCAACGCCGCGUGAGCGAUGAAGGCCUUCGGGUCGUAAAGCUCUGUCCUCAAGGAAGAUAAUGACGGUACUUGAGGAGGAAGCCCCGGCUAACUACGUGCC
rnacentral:rRNA from 1 species